rnacentral:rRNA from 1 species
CAGUAGCCGCGGUAAGACAGAGGAUGCAAGCGUUAUCCGGAAUGAUUGGGCGUAAAGCGUGCGUAGGUGGUGGUUUAAGUCCGUUGUGAAAGCCCUAAGCUCAACCUGGGAAUUGCAGUGGAUACUGGGUCACUAGAGUGUGGUAGAGGAUAGUGGAAUUUCCGGUGUAGCAGUGAAAUGCGUAGAGAUCGGAAGGAACAUCUGUGGCGAAGGCGACUAUCUGGGCCAACACUGACACUGAGGCACGAAAGCGUGGGGAGCAAACAGGAUUAGAUACCCGGGUAGUCCCUGUCUCUUAUAC